GCUCGGGAGGCCUCCUUCUGAAGACUGGGAGGGAGGGGAGCUGGCGGUGUGGUAAGGUUUCCGGGCACGGGUCGCCAGGAGGUUUACUGGGGAGGGGGGGGAAUUAGGAAAAAAGCAUGCCUCACCCCGUGGCCAAAUGGAUAUUUCAGUAUAUUCUUCGUUCGUUCUCUUAACUGGAAUGGCUCAGUGGGAGCUCAACAGUGAAGAAUGAGGCAGAUUCAUUAGAGAGCUGGAAAGGUUCCUCCUUCAGCACCUAGAAGAGUUCCCUGAAGAUAGCCUUCAAUAAAGUAUUAUCGAGUGAAUGCGUGGAUGAAUGGAACUUCAUUCAGCCUUCUGAAGAAACAUGACUACUAACUGCUGCCCAAACACAGCAGGAAGGGGAGAUGGAACCCUAGAAUGGAGUCUCAGUCUUACCUGAGCUUGGAGCAGGUGAUGGUGCAACUCACUUCAGUCAUCCCAAAUCCAGGUUCAUCUGACACCAGCUGCGUCCACCAUGCCAUCUAAGUUUGACCCCAAUGAGACCAAAGUUGUAUACCUGAGGUGCACUGGUGGAGAAGUCGGUGCCACGUCUGACCUGGCCCCCAAGAUCGAUUCCCUGGCUCUGUCUCCCAAAAAGGUUGGCACCAGUAAUUGAAAGGAUCUGAGGAUUACAGUGAAACUGACUAUUUAGGACAGACAGGCCCAGAUUGAAGUAGUACCUUCUGCCUCUGCCCUGAUUAUCAGAGCCCUCAAGGAACUGCCAAGAGACGGAAAGAAGCAGAAAAACAUUAAGCACAGUGGAAAUACCACCUUUGAUGAAAUGGUCAACAUUGUCCAACAUAUGCAGCACUGAUCCUUAGCCAGAGAUCUCUCUGGAACCAUUAAAGAGAUCCUAGAGACUGCCUGGUCUGUGGGCUGUAAUGUUGAUGGCUGCCACCCUCAUGACAUAGAUGACAUCAACAGUGGUGCAAUGAAAUGCCCAGCUGGUUAAAAACUACAAAGGAAAUAUUUCAAAGGAAAUAUUUCAAUGAAGGAUCAUUUGACAACCAAAAAAAAAAAAUGUUGCCUGUGUGUAUUAAUAAUUCUCUUAUGACAAAUAUAUAUAUCCCUAAACACAACAUUGCACAGUUUUGCCUAGUUUUGAACUUUUUUGUAAAUGGAAUCAUUCUGGAGGAGCCUAGGUGGCUCAGUCAGUUA